UGCCAAUGCUGCACGCGUGUGUGUUAUAAGAAGACACACAGACACACACACACACAGACGCAGACAUGGAGCUGAUCCUGAGAGCUGCUGUUCUGCUGCUGCUGCUGUCCAGAUGUGAGGCUGCAGAGGAAACAUGUGGACUGACAGGACAAGUCAAAGAGGGACACCUGGACAAGGUGCUGGGUGUGCGUUGGGUGAUGGUGAGGGCCUUUUCUGACUUUGAGAAUGGUUUGGCUGUGCUGAGGAAAUCUCAGAGCACAGUGUUGUUGAUGGAGAUGAUGGAGGACAACGUGACGGUGGCGUGCGUGGAGAGAAAUGUGGAGUACGUGUCACAUGACUGAAUGGAGGCGUGGCCUGUGGUGGUGCUGAUGUGUGUGAUGUGUUGCAGGGCGGAGAAGUGCUUGGUGUUUUACACCAACAUGACUACACCUGAGGACAAGACGUCCAAUCACACGCUGGUGCUGAUGAACACUGGUGAGGGUCACAUGACC
rnacentral:lncRNA from 1 species